rnacentral:rRNA from 1 species
UACGGGAGGCAGCAGUGGGGAAUAUUGGACAAUGGGGGGAACCCUGAUCCAGCCAUGCCGCGUGUGUGAAGAAGGCCUUAUGGUUGUAAAGCACUUUAAGCGAGGAGGAGGCUACUGAGACUAAUACUCUUGGAUAGUGGACGUUACUCGCAGAAUAAGCACCGGCUAACUCUGUGCCAGCAGCCGCGGUAAUACAGAGGGUGCGAGCGUUAAUCGGAUUUACUGGGCGUAAAGCGUGCGUAGGCGGCUUUUUUAAGUCGGAUGUGAAAUCCCCGAGCUUAACUUGGGAAUUGCAUUCGAUACUGGGAAGCUAGAGUAUGGGAGAGGAUGGUAGAAUUCCAGGUGUAGCGGUGAAAUGCGUAGAGAUCUGGAGGAAUACCGAUGGCGAAGGGCAGCCAUCUGGCCUAUACUGACGCUGAGGUCGAAAGCAUGGGGAGGCAAAC